UGGAUCCAGACUUUGAUUAUGGCUCAGGAUGAACGCUGGCGGCGUGCCUAACACAUGCAAGUCGAACGAAGCUUUUUAUGGAUUUCUUCGGAAUGAAGUAAGAAUGACUUAGUGGCGGACGGGUGAGUAAUGCGUGAGCAACCUGCCUUUCAGAGGGGGAUAACAGUUGGAAACGACUGCUAAUACCGCAUAACGUGCGAAGACCGUAUGGUCUUUGUACCAAAACUGAGGUGCUGAAAGAUGGGCUCACGUCCGAUUAGAUAGUUGGUGAGGUAACGGCUCACCAAGUCGACGAUCGGUAGCCGGACUGAGAGGUUGAACGGCCACAUUGGGACUGGGACACGGCCCAGACUCCUACGGGAGGCAGCAGUGGGGAAUAUUGCACAAUGGGCGAAAGCCUGAUGCAGCAACGCCGCGUGAGGGAAGACGGUCU
rnacentral:rRNA from 1 species